UCUCCCAUCAUCUAGCGGUCUAGGAUCGCCGCCUUUCGAGCGGUUAACCGGGGUUCAAAUCCCCGUGGGAGAACCA
rnacentral:tRNA from 1 species